rnacentral:rRNA from 1 species
AUGAUGAAAACUGCACCAGAGCAUUGGUGUCGAGCAUACUUUAAGAUUGGCUCCUUCUGUGACUCAGUUGAGAACAACAUGUGUGAGUCAUUUAAUAAUGCCAUCAUGAGAUCACGGUUCUACCCUGUAGUAACGGCAAUGGAAAUCAUUAGAAAGAAGGUCAUUGUGAGGAUCCAACAAAACAGAGCAAAGUUUCAGAAGUGGCAUGGUACCAUUUGUCCAAAUAUUUUUAAGAAAUUGAAGGUGAAUAUUGAAAGAUCCGCUAGGUGUCAAGUGUUGUGGAAUGGAAAGGAUGGGUUUGAAGUACAGGAAGGUGAGCACAGGAGAUACACGGUCAAUCUAGAAAACUGGACAUGUUCAUGUAGAUAUUGGCAACUUUCAGGCUUACCUUGUUGUCAUGCAGUGAGUGCAAUCUACACAUGCUCUAGAGAUUUGGACCUAUACAUUUCACCUUGCUACUCAAUAGCUGAGUAUGACAUAAUUUAUAAUCAUGUUCUUCAGCCUGUGAAUGGAUCAGAAGAUUGGCCAAUUUCUGAAAAACCUAGACCUCUUCCACCUAAGAAAAGAACUCAGAAAGGCAGGCCCCAGACAAAGAGAAGGCAGGAAGAAGGAGAGAAACCUAGGGACCCAUCGAAAAUGUCACGAGCAGGCACUCAGGUCACAUGCAGGGCCGGUCCUGAGAUUUUAGGGGCCCGGGGCGAAACCAGAAUCCGGGACCCUUUGUACUUUCAAAAAUUAUUUUCAGUAUAUACUUUGCGCAACUUCAAGAUUUUGCUUCUACACCAUACUACUAACAAAUCAUGUAGGGAUGAUUAUCAUUUUCUAUAG